GAUGAACGCUAGCGACAGGCUUAACACAUGCAAGUCGAGGGGCAUCAGGAAGAAAGCUUGCUUUCUUUGCUGGCGACCGGCGCACGGGUGAGUAACGCGUAUCCAACCUGCCCACCACUUGGGGAUAACCUUGCGAAAGUAAGACUAAUACCCAAUGACGUCUCUAGAAGACAUCUGAAAGAGAUUAAAGAUUUAUCGGUGAUGGAUGGGGAUGCGUCUGAUUAGCUUGUUGGCGGGGUAACGGCCCACCAAGGCGACGAUCAGUAGGGGGUUCUGAGAGGAAGGUCCCCCCACAUUGGAACUGAGACACGGUCCAAACUCCUACGGGAGGCAGCAGUGAGGAAUAUUGGUCCAAUGGACGAGAGUCUGACCAGCCAAGUAGCGUGCAGGAUGACGGGCCCUAUGGUUUGUAAACUGCUUUUAUAAGGGAUAAAGUGAGUCUCGUGAGACUUUUUGCAUGUACCUUAUGAAUAAGGACCGGCUAAUUCCGUGCCAGCAG
rnacentral:rRNA from 1 species